CUCAGGACUAGCACGUGGCGAGAGGAGCAACCAGCUUCUGCGGGAGCUCAGCGAUGGCGGGGCUGUGCAAGGAGGAGGAGGAGGAGGUUGGACUGUUCCACGUUCUUCCGAUGAGCUGCUCCUCAGAUCCGGGGUUUGCUGAGCAACGAAAAAUAGAAACGACUGGAAGACACAGAGCAUCCCCACCAUGACAGGCAUCUGAGGUCCUCCCCUUGAGGAGCUGAAGUUCAUUUUGGUCACAGGGGUGCAUUUCUGAGUAAGCAAGUUUGCGGAGCAACGGAAAAUAGAAACACCUGGAAGACGCAGAGCAUCCCCACCGUUACAGACACCCGAGGUCCUCCCGUUGAGGAGCUGAAGUUCAUUUUGGUCCCAGGGGUGUAUUUCUGAGUAAGCAAGUUUGCUGAGCAACGAAAAAUAGAAACGACUUGAAGACACAGAGCAUCCCCACCAUGACAGGCACCCGAGGUCCUCCCCUUGAGGAGCUGAAGUUCAUUUUGGUCCCAGGGGUGCGUUUCUGACCAAGCAAGCAAGCCUAGUUUAGCAUCUGUACGUUCCCGUUGAGGGAGAGCCAGUUUGGUGUAGUGGUUAAGUGUGCGGACUCUAAUCUGGGAGA